rnacentral:rRNA from 1 species
AGAGUUUGAUCUUGGCUCAGGAUGAACGCUGGCGGCGUGCCUAAUACAUGCAAGUCGAACGAAUCUCUUUUAAAGAUGAGUGGCUAACGGGUGAGUAAUACAUAGGUAACCUGCCCCUGUGCGGGGGAUAACAGGAGGAAACUCCUGCUAAUACCGCAUAGCCAUGAGCACCGCAUGGAGCUCAUGCCAAAUAUCCUUUCGGGGAUAGCGCAGGGAUGGACCUAUGGCGUAUUAGCUAGUUGGCGGGGCAACGGCCCACCAAGGCAACGAUGCGUAGCCGGCCUGAGAGGGCGGACGGCCACAUUGGGACUGAGACACGGCCCAGAUCUCCUACGGGAGGCAGCAGUAGGGAAUUUUCGGCAAUGGGGGAAACCCUGACCGAGCAACGCCGCGUGAGCGAAGAAGGCCUUCGGGUCGUAAAGCUCUGUUGUAAAGGAAGAACGUCGUACACAGGAAAUGGUGUGCGAGUGACGGUACUUUACCAGAAAGCCACGGCUAACUACGUGCCAGCAGCCGCGGUAAUACGUAGGUGGCGAGCGUUAUCCGGAAUCAUUGGGCGUAAAGAGGGAGCAGGCGGCCGCAAGGGUCUGUGGUGAAAGACCGAAGCUAAACUUCGGUAAGCCAUGGAAACCGGGCGGCUAGAGUGCGGAAGAGGAUCGUGGAAUUCCAUGUGUAGCGGUGAAAUGCGUAGAUAUAUGGAGGAACACCAGUGGCGAAGGCGACGGUCUGGUCCGCAACUGACGCUCAUUCCCGAAAGCGUGGGGAGCAAAUAGGAUUAGAUACCCUAGUAGUCCACCCCGUAAACGAUGAUUACUAGGUGUUGGGGGAUUGACCCCCUCAGUGCUGCAGUUAACACAAUAAGUAAUCCACCUGGGGAGUACGACCGCAAGGUUGAAACUCAAAGGAAUUGACGGGGGCCCGCACAAGCAGUGGAGUAUGUGGUUUAAUUCGAAGCAACGCGAAGAACCUUACCAGGUCUUGGCAUCCGAUGCAUAACACAGAGAUGUGAGAAGUCCUUCGGGACAUCGAGACAGGUGGUGCAUGGUUGUCGUCAGCUCGUGUCGUGAGAUGUUGGGUUAAGUCCCGCAACGAGCGCAACCCUUAUUGCCAGUUACUACGUUUAGAGGACUCUGGCGAGACUGCCGUUGACAAAACGGAGGAAGGUGGGGAUGACGUCAAAUCAUCAUGCCCUUUAUGACCUGGGCUACACACGUACUACAAUGGCGUUAAACAAAGAGAAGCAAGACCGCGAGGUGGAGCAAAACUCAAAAACAACGUCUCAGUUCAGAUUGCAGGCUGCAACUCGCCUGCAUGAAGUCGGAAUUGCUAGUAAUCGCGGAUCAGCAUGCCGCGGUGAAUAAGUUCCCGGCCCUUGCACUCACCGCCCGUCA